rnacentral:rRNA from 1 species
UAGGGAAUCUUCCACAAUGGACGCAAGUCUGAUGGAGCAACGCCGCGUGAGUGAAGAAGUUUUUCGGAUCGUAAAGCUCUGUUGUUGGUGAAGAAGGAUAGAGGUAGUAACUGGCCUUUAUUUGACGGUAAUCAACCAGAAAGUCACGGCUAACUACGUGCCAGCAGCCGCGGUAAUACGUAGGUGGCAAGCGUUGUCCGGAUUUAUUGGGCGUAAAGCGAGCGCAGGCGGAAGAAUAAGUCUGAUGUGAAAGCCCUCGGCUUAACCGAGGAACUGCAUCGGAAACUGUUUUUCUUGAGUGCAGAAGAGGAGAGUGGAACUCCAUGUGUAGCGGUGGAAUGCGUAGAUAUAUGGAAGAACACCAGUGGCGAAGGCGACUCUCUGGUCUGCAACUGACGCUGAGGCUCGAAAGCAUGGGUAGCGAACAGG